rnacentral:rRNA from 1 species
UACAGAGGUCUCAAGCGUUGUUCGGAUUCAUUGGGCGUAAAGGGUGCGUAGGUGGCGCCGUAAGUCAGGUGUGAAAUCUCGGGGCUUAACUCCGAAACUGCAUUUGAUACUGCGGUGCUUGAGGACUGGAGAGGAGACUGGAAUUCAUGGUGUAGCAGUGAAAUGCGUAGAGAUCAUGAGGAAGACCAGUGGCGAAGGCGGGUCUCUGGACAGUUCCUGACGCUGAGGCACGAAGGCCAGGGGAGCAAACGGG